CGUGUUUUAGGACUGCGACGAUCAAUGGACUGAUGUUACUGCAGUCACACACCACUGUGUAGAAAUACGUUGGCACGAUGGCGACAAGCUAGGAGGAAAGACAGAGAAUGUCUGAAAUAUGGGAUCAUUUACCACUUAACAAGGACAAUAAAGUGCAAUAUGUCUACCGCAAAGCGGUUUUGAUCACCAACAUAAGGUAACGAAUCAAUGUUCGCCAAUUUAACAUACCCUACCAUUGCUAGUUUGCACUUUCAGUUGCUUUAGUGAACAAAUGGUAAGAAAACCAAACUGUAAUAAACGCAUUCAUACACAAGCUGCCGAUGGACCACUCAUGCCAAGUGACUCAACACACAGACAGGCUAACAGGUUAGCCAGAUGACAGCCAGCCAACCCUACACUCUCAUUUGCUGACGCCCACGUCACUCACCAGACCAGGCCCUGCCUUUUGAAGCCAUACACACGCAAAGUCACAGAUAGUGCAGUAGACCAUGAGGAUGGAGACCCCAAGUGGAUGAAAGAAAUACCUGCACCUCACCUGCACGUUGUGUUUAGAAUUGCAAAAUAUUUUUUUAUUCAAUUAAACAAGAUAAUGUGUUAUAAAAAUAUUUGAUGGGUGACACCCUGCUGUAUUUACUUUCUUAAAAUGGACACAGUAGUCUAGAAAAUUGACUUUAAUGGUUUGUAUACAAAUAGUUGGGUCUCUGGAGUGCCUUCCCACCCAUCAAGUGUGAAAUCAAAACACCCGUGUCAUUUUUUAAAUAUGCUUAUUUCUUAAAACGUGUCUGUGAGCGAGCUGUUCUGCACUUCCGUACCACUGUCAUGAAACAGUUUGUUUUGUUUGUUUGAUGUGGCUGUUUGCCGCAUACAUAGUGUAGUGUAUGAAAUGCUCCCUUUUUUCACACUCUGCAUACACCUGUGGGCGAGAUGACAAGAGCCUGUGAAUCCUAAUUUCUAGUCGCAAAGCUCUGCCCAUAGUCAUCAUGGUAACAACAAAGCAGGACUGGCCAUUGGCCCAAAAGUAUAUGGGGCUACAGCUGCUUCCUUGCAUAAAACGGAGUCAGCCUAUUUCAUUAAAGAAAAAGAGUAAUACACAUCCAUGUACUUACGCCACUUCAUAGUCAAAAGGUUUUUGGCACGGUUAUGCUCUCUAAUUACAGUCCUCUGUGUGUGUGUGUUUGCAGUUUGCUUGGACAGUCGUUGGGCAGUCGCAGGUCUGCUGCAAUGGCUGGAUGGCCUUCUUUUCUCCUGUCAUUGCUUCCCGCGGAACUCAAGCUGCUUCGCACACUCCCUCGCGGGUUUGCUUUGAGUCUCCUUAGAAACCAAUUGUGUUUCAUCUUCUGCUCGACUUCAAUGCCAUCUUGACAGUUGUGUAACGGAAGCGGUAUCCUCCUUGUCGGGUGCCCGAGGUGAAGGCCCGGCCUUGAGGGAACACACGUGUCCUUAUACUGCUGUGCUCUCUCAAAGACGUGCGGAAAGACAACAUGUCCUCUUCC